CGUCCCUCAGGGUCGCAUCUGGAGAGUUUCCAGUCCUCUACCAGUCCCGACUGCAAGAGGGAGAGUCAAGCAGAGGCCUACCCAUUCCAUUCCUAGCUUGAGCAGUGGCUAGCGAGUGGAAGGCAAUCUGCUACAGGU
rnacentral:snoRNA from 1 species